rnacentral:misc_RNA from 1 species
UACGUAGGGGGCGAGCGUUGUCCGGAUUUACUGGGCGUAAAGGUCGCGUAGGCGGUUUCCUAAGUUUGGAGUGACAGUGCUCGGCUUAACUGAGCAAGGCCUUUGAAAACUGGGAGACUUGAGGACCAGAGAGGGACAUAGAAUUCCGGGUGGAGUGGUGAAAUGCGUAGAUAUCCGGAGGAAUACCAAAGGCGAAGGCAGUGUCCUGGAGGGUUACUGACGCUGAGGCGCGAAAGCGUGGGGAGCAAACAGG